rnacentral:tRNA from 1 species
GCCGACCUGAUGGGAACAAGGUAGACCUCACCCGCUCAGAACGGGUGGUUUCCGGGUUCGAGGCCCGGGGUCGGCACCA